GGGGGAGUGCAGGAUCCUGGGCUGUUUUCUGGCACCCUGGGCUCUGGGGCCUUAGCUGCUGGAAUCGUGCUCCUGGGCCUGCACAGCCACCU
rnacentral:pre_miRNA from 1 species